AGUGAACGCUGGCGGUAGGCCUAACACAUGCAAGUCGAACGGCAGCACAGUAAGAGCUUGCUCUUACGGGUGGCGAGUGGCGGACGGGUGAGGAAUACAUCGGAAUCUACUUUUUCGUGGGGGAUAACGUAGGGAAACUUACGCUAAUACCGCAUACGACCUACGGGUGAAAGCAGGGGAUCUUCGGACCUUGCGCGAUUGAAUGAGCCGAUGUCGGAUUAGCUAGUUGGCGGGGUAAGGGCCCACCAAGGCGACGAUCCGUAGCUGGUCUGAGAGGAUGAUCAGCCACACUGGAACUGGGACACGGUCCAGACUCCUACGGGAGGCAGCAGUGGGGAAUAUUGGACAAUGGGCGCAAGCCUGAUCCAGCCAUACCGCGUGGGUGAAGAAGGCCUUCGGGUUGUAAAGCCCUUUUGUUGGGAAAGAAAAGCAGCAGGUUAAUACCCCGCUGUUCUGACGGUACCCAAAGAAUAAGCACCGGCUAACUUCGUG
rnacentral:rRNA from 1 species